UUCUUCAUUUUUCUCAGUCCUGAGAAGAACAGAGAAGAACAAUCUUUGCAUCGUCCAUCUGCAGCUGUUUACAGCUAAGGGGGAUGCUGUACCAUCUACUGUGUUCCUGUGAGCAGUAAGAGACCUACUGGCUUUCAUGUCGUUUCCAACACUUGGUGGACCUCCUUGCCCAUCUGGCAGAUAUCAUGUUCUUAUCGAGAAGAAGUUACAAGGCACACUAAAGGAAAAAACAGAGGCAGAAUCCAACUGAGAGAGCAAGAACAGUCACAUCAGGCAUGGAGCUGGAAAGGAAAUCUUGUGUUCUGUCUGUCUGUCCUCGGGGAAGGCUGUCCACCUCCUCCUGACUUCACCUGUCUGCGAUAUGUAUUGUUUAACUCUACCUACUUUCCAGGAUGAGCUGAGUUCUUGACACACGUCAGGUACCCGACAACACCUGUAACUCCAGCUCCCGGAGUCUGACCCUUCUCCUGGCCUCCCAGGCACCUGUACUAACAUGCCCAUACCCACAUGCAGACACGACUAAGCAAUUCUGUUUGGAGCUAACUUUUGGGGGCAUCAACGGUGUUUGACUCAAGUUUGAACCCAAGAUCUCCUCAGACAUCCUUCAAACAAGUAUCCUCCGAUGAUUCAGAAACCCCACAAACAGAAAUGUUAGCAAAAGACCUAGGAAAGCUGACCUUCAACCAUAGUGCUAUGAAGCUUUCUUCUCCUUGACCAGAAAAGGACAUCAUCAUCACCACCACCACCAUCAUCAUCAUCUCCACCGCUGGAGGGAGAAUGGGUGGAGAACAGAUGUGGAGAACCAUGGGGAAGGUUCAAAGUGCCUUUCCCAGGAGAAGGGUCCAGACAUUACUGUUGGUACAGAAUGACUCUGUAGCAAAGAGAAACAGAUUAUAAGGAUUGGAUAGAGCUAUUGGUCUUUGUGGAAAUCAGUUUGAAGAAGAUAGUGGACCAUUCAGAUACAUCUGCUCUUUCUGCCUGGAUCAUAGAUGGAUCCUUCUGAGAAUGCUGCCCUGGGGAGAAAGUAGGACAGUCAAUUUAGGCUGAAAUUGUACAUUGCCCUUUACUGCUGAUAAUACUGAUGUAAAAGCUUUUUUUUUUUUUUUGAGAUGAAACUGUACAGAGAUCAUUUUGAAUAAUCUAUGCAUGUAUUUUGUGAUUUAUUUCAGUUCUUUGGCAAUCAUUUUGACUAGUCUAUGUACAAGUUCUGUGAUAUAUUUCGACUCAUUUGCUGCAAUCAUUUGACCAAUCUCUGCGUGAGAUCUGUAAUGCAUUUCCGUUCUUCUAUUUGUCUGAUGCUGCGAUAUGUCUUCCAAACUUGUCCCCAUUGAUCUAUAUGGGAUGUGUAAAGUCUGAAUGCAAGUGAAUGAUUUCAUUAUAUCUUUAUGUUCCAAUUUGACCCAAA